AUCGCCUGUUGGCCUUUUGUCUAAGAUCAAGUGUGGCAUCUGUUAUCAGUUUAAUACCUGAUACGUCCUCUAUCUGAGGACAAGAUAUUAAAUGGACUUUUGGAGCUAGGAGUUGGAAUAGGAGCUUUCUCCAUUCACUCCACACAUUAACCUUACAUUGCAGUACCUCCAGGAAUGAUGCACGGAAA